GUAAGUGGUGUUGUUUAAAAGUAUUGAUUAUAAAACAUUGAUGAAAUUGGAAAGAUAAUGGCUGGGAUUGAGUGUUGACAUGAAAUCUCGUCCUUUACACUUUUCUUUGUAGAGGGUCUCAGUGCUGGAGAACUCUUGUUCUGUAACAGCACAGUUAUGUUGCUGACUGCAGUCAAGCACGUAGGCCUUUGAAAGUUCUAAUACCCAUCAACUGAAUGACCUUGGAUAUAUUUUAAGUAUACUGAAUCUUGGUUUUCUUAUCUGCAAAAUGUUAAUGAAAUUAUUUUAAUUAGUCGUCCAAUGGCUAUGUAUUCAGAACAUACCACAUUCAAAGCUCAGAACUAGGGAAUCCAGUGGUUAGCAGAGCAGGUCUAACAGCAGGCCUUGUGCAAUCUUCUAUCAGUGGUAUGCACGGGAGGUUCUCCUCACUGACUGAGCAAUUAGCAGCCAUCAGAAGACUAAUAUUAAAAUGAUUUUUUUUUCUUCCUGGAAUCCUGGUGUGUUUUCACAACCCAAUAAAAGGGAAGUUUUCCAGCCAAUCUACUCACAUUUUAUUUGCUAAAUCCAUACUGUCUGCUGUGGUCAGGGAGGCACCUGCCGUAGCAUUUGCUCCACAGUUACUAGCCACAAUCUUAGGCCUUAAUAGUAAAGCUUUGACAAAAAUGAAAAACCAAGCAAGGACUGUAGAAAAGUGCUUCACACUGCCAUGAGUUUUAUCAGAUUCCCCCUGCUGCCGUAGACAGUUCGUUUUCAUGUAAAUGCCCAUAAUCAGGUACAGCACUUACUUCCUGCAUACCUAACCAUCAGCCUUGUAUCAAACUCAAAAAGUGAGGUGGUUUUGUUUUGUUUUGUUUUGUUUUGUUUUUGUUUGUUUGUUUGUUUGUUUGUUUGUUUUUUUAAAAAUCUGCUGGGCAGAAGAACCUAGAUCUACACUUUCAUGCUGUGGCAUAUUCAAGACUGAUUUAAGAAUCCCUUGUAGACACAAAGAUGAGAUCAAAUGAGGAUUAAAUGUAAUUCCACCCUUCAAAGAUCUGUGUCAUGCAGCAAUCAUGUACUGAGUCCCCAGCAGGAGUGGCGAGGCUCGAGGUCUGGGUGGAUUUGCCUGGUUGAGCACGAGUAGCAGUAGAGCUAAUGGCUGAGGAGGCUGGGGAAAGGCAGAUACUGAAGAGAUGGGCACUUAAGUGAGAGGCUUCUGAUACAUCGACUGUGGAUAAAAGGGCUUCCAGGAUAAAGCACUCUGUUUUAUGCUGACAGAGCUCCCUGCCUUAUAUCAUCAAGCAGGCAUUUCCAGAGCAUGCAUCAUCGUAUCUUUAGAGAUAUAUGCUGAUGGUGUCUGCAAAGCAUGCUAGCCCUCCUGUGACCUUAGACUCUAGGAGUGUUCUUUGAAGGUUUUCUUAUUUAGACCGUGUGAAGGUGGAUCGGAUGAGGAGCGGGUACUGAGAGGUGGGACUGAUCCAGGCUUUGGAGUUGUGGAAUGGGAGCCUUCUUUUGGUAGCAAUGAAGCAAGAGCUUUUCUAGGGCUCAGUUUCCCCUUUGUUAUAAUAGUCAAUAAUAAAUUGAUUUGUAAAACAGGAGAACUAUGCAUAUGCCCCCCAUUACUAUUUCUCUGACCCCUUGUAGUCUGAGGGGAGAUCCCCAUGGUAAUUAUCUUGCCUGUAGAGAGACGCAGAACUCUCUUAACACCGUGUUAACUCUGUGCCCCAAAUUCCUUGUUGGGAAAGUGAGGGCUUUAAAAAUAGAAAUUAUGAGUGUGUGUGUGUGUGUGUGUGUGUGUGUGUGUGUAAGACGGGGAGACAAGGCAGCUGUGACACACAUGUAGAGGUCAAGGGACAAGCUUGUGGGAUUGGUUCUCUCACCACUUUAGUGAGGGUCCUAGAGUUUCCAGCUCAGGUCGCUAGGUCAGCUUAUCAAGCACCGCUACCCAUUCAGUCAUCUCCCCAGCCAAAAUCAGGCUCUUCACAGGGCUUUCUGGAUGGACUUUAAAAGAUGGGGUGUGGCAUUUCGCCUGUCAAGGUCUGGCCUGACACCCACUCAUCCUUAGCCAGUCCUCAUGGUCUCUCUUCCCCGUUAUCAACACAUGGUUAAUAAAAGUUAAAGUCCUGUUUUAAAUUGAGUUUAUUUUGGAGUGAUAACAAAUUUCAUGUUAGUUAUUGUAUAGUGCACAUCACUUAGAGCGGCAGUUCUCAAACUGUGGGUCAUGACCCGUUUGCAGGGGUCAAAAUAGCCUUUCACUGGGGUCGCAUAUCAGAUACUUAUAUUCAGUUCAUAAGAGUAGCAAGACUACAGUUAUGAAGUAGCAACAGAAAUAAGUUUAUGGUCAAGGGUCACUACAACAUGAGGAACAUCAGAGCAUUAGGAAGGCUGAGAACCAGUGACUUGGAGCCUUCCAUCGUAGCAGCACAGCAAGAGAAUAUAGUCUGCCACUGCACCUCCCAUCUCCAGAACUCUUCAUCUUUGUAUAAGACCUUGCCUGACUCCAGCACAAUCCAUCUGCUUCUAGCUUGCAGACACAGUUUUUUACCCUCUAGUAAAUCGGGAUGUGGUAGUGGAGACAGACCUUUAGAGUCUCAGCAGAGAGUGGGGUGCACUGUGGGAGCCAGGUUCUGUGUUGGAUAACAGGAACCUGGAGACAGGCGGGGGCAUCUCCUGGACAGGAUCUUCUUUGUUUCCUGUCCUACAACAUCAUGUUCAGUUCUGCUUCUACAUCUAGGCAAGGACUCCUUUUGUCUACCCAGAAUAAUUAUUCUAAGAUAAUGGAAUCAACAGUCCAUUUAGCCUGACAACAGAGCGGUGUUUAUUUAAUCAGCUGCAUGAAUAUGUCAGACGAGAGCAGGGCUUCAUGAGAAUUUUAGAGAAAUCACCACAGCGACUGUAAUGGCCCCUUUCUAUUAGCCAGUGGUUCCCAUGGGAGUCCACUCAACCUCCGUGUACCGCCGAAAGGCAGGCUGCUCUUGGGCAGCAAACACAACUCGAGGGUUAUUUUUAC
rnacentral:lncRNA from 1 species